rnacentral:rRNA from 1 species
CCCUUAGAUGUUCCGGGCCGCACGCGUGCUACACUGAGUGGAUCAGCGGGUCAGGUUGCGCGAAAGUGUUUCCUAAUCUUGAAAUCCGCUCGUGAUGGGGAUUGACGGUUGCAAUUUUCCGUCAUGAACGAGGAAUACCUUGUAAGCGCGGGUCAUCAUCCCGCGCUGAAUACGUCCCUGCCCUUUGUACACACCGCCCGUCGCUCCUACCGAUUGAGUGGUCCGGUGAGGCUUUGGGAUCUGAGCGGAAAGAGCGUUUCGCUGUUUCUGCUCGGAAAACUCAGUCGAACCUUAUCAUUUAGAGGAAGGAGAAGUCGUAACA